rnacentral:rRNA from 1 species
UGGCGGCAGGCCUAACACAUGCAAGUCGAGCGGUAACAGAAAGUAGCUUGCUACUUUGCUGACGAGCGGCGGACGGGUGAGUAAUGCCUAGGGAUCUGCCCAGUCGAGGGGGAUAACAGUUGGAAACGACUGCUAAUACCGCAUACGCCCUACGGGGGAAAGGAGGGGACCUUCGGGCCUUUCGCGAUUGGAUGAACCUAGGUGGGAUUAGCUAGUUGGUGAGGUAAUGGCUCACCAAGGCGACGAUCCCUAGCUGUUCUGAGAGGAUGAUCAGCCACACUGGGACUGAGACACGGCCCAGACUCCUACGGGAGGCAGCAGUGGGGAAUAUUGCACAAUGGGGGAAACCCUGAUGCAGCCAUGCCGCGUGUGUGAAGAAGGCCUUCGGGUUGUAAAGCACUUUCAGUUGUGAGGAAAGGGUGUUGCUUAAUACGCAACAUCUGUGACGUUAGCAACAGAAGAAGGACCGGCUAACUCCGUGCCAGCAGCCGCGGUAAUAC